UCAGCCCGGGUGAUGAGGAGUGGUCCUGCCUCAGGGCAUCCGCGGCGGCUCUCGAUCAGCCCGCUGCGAGGGGCAGCAGCGUGGAGCUGAAAAGUGACAAAAAACCCUGGCGCUAAGCAGGUGUCAGGGACUUGAGGUGGGAGGUGAGCGCGGUCCCUGAGUGGGCCCCGCUCGUACAGCUUUCCUGGAGGCUGCUGCUGCCAGCAGGGACAUCUGCUUUAUUACACUCUCCAGAGGAGGUUCACUAUUCCUCCCCUCCUCUCCUCCUUCCAACGAGCCCAGUUCAGCAGAGGAGGUUGAGUCCAAAUGGAAAGUGGGAUUUCAUUAAAAGAAAGAAAAAAAAAAUCUGGAGGAAGAAAGUGGAACCGGAAGAGGAGCAAAAGAGCAGCAGCCUCGUGAGCCAAGGUUGCUACCGCCUGCCUCCCUGUGUCUGUCCCCGCCCGGGGUGGCGGAGUCCCCCCCGGGGACCCGGGGCCGAAGGUGCUUUGGAGGCUCCCUGCGGGUCCCGUCGUUGCCCGUGCUGUCAGGCCCCAGGCCUGGCCGCCAGGCCGGGCAGCCAGCCGCCCCCCGCUCGGGGCUGGGCACUUUCCGAGGGCGCUGCGGCGUUCUGCCUGCCGCAGCCUGUGCGAGGGCUCCGAGCUGGCGCCCGGGGGUAACACAUGUAGCUCCUCUGUCUCCCCGGCUAACUCGACAGCUGCUCGUAGCUCCAGUAAUUAGACUGUCAGUGCUUGUUAGAGGAGAGGGAAACGCUCCUAUGACAGAUUCCACGAGUCCUGUUUUUUAAGAUCUCACGGAAAUCACCAGAGCAUUAAUUGAGAUCUCUUAUUUCUCUGGAAUCAGGAGGGAAGAAGUUCCCUCUGCUGCUCUGCACUCCAAUCAGAGCCCUCUUCCGCCUCCCAUGAAACGCAGUGAAUUCACUCUCAGAGGCUCAGGAGAAGUUCUCUUCCUUCCCUGCCUACCCGGGAGGAAGACAGAGCUUCCUGGCCGUGUCAACUUACUUUUAAAAUCUCCUCCUCGCAUUGCUAUAUUUAACUAAACAGAGAAGUCCAUAGAAAUACAGCCCUUUCUCCAUUAACGGAGAGGAGGAGUCGCUCCUCAAACUAUCCUUCCCCAUCCGAGAUAACGGUAAUGCAGAGGACGCUCAGGAGAGGGAGGCUGUUCCCCUCCCGAACAAAAGCGCUGGAGGAACAAGCCGAGAUGCUCCUACCCCCACCCGGCAGAUGAGACUCAGAGGAGGCGACUUCUUUUCCUCCCUACCGUACAUUCCCCUUUCCCCCGCAAUCAUACAAGGUUAACUCAACAGAGGAGUCUCAAUCCAAAUGGCAACUGGGAUUGCAUUAAAAAAAAAAAAAAAAGAAAAAAAAAAAACUGAAGGAAGGGGGAGAAAAAAAAAUCAGAAAUAGGGAAAGAAAAGAGAAAAAGCAGCAGGCUGAUUACGAGGUGUCAAAACUGCCAGGAGCAAGAAGGUGAUAGCAAUCAGGGGUGAGAAGAGUGCGCCAUUCGUGCGGGGCAGCUAAUUAUCCGUCUCAUUUGAGAAGAGCAGCAUUCGAGGCAGCAGCGUUCGCCUGCUGAACGGUGACAGAUUGGCGCGGAGGAGAGGGGAGGUGUUAAAACAAUGGAGCCGGGCUUGCGAGCGCUGCUGCAUGCUAAUCAGCCCGGCCUCCUUCCUUCCUUCCCUCCCUCCCCUCAACGCUCCCUCCCUCCCUCCUUCCCUCCGCCUGCCCGCCGCGAUCCCUCCUUCCCGCCGGCCGCAUGGCGAGCCCUGCGCGGCCAGGCCCCUCGGCAGCGGGCAGCGCCCAGCCGGCAGCGCGCUAACCGGGGGGAGCCCCGGCGGCGGGGCGGGCAGCGCACGGGGGGACCCGGCGGGCUGCGGGGUAGCGGGGGUAGGCUUCACACCUCGUCCGCCGUGCAGGGAUUCCCGGAGCCCCCCGGCCCGAGUCCCCGCCAGGGGCAGAGGCGAGGAGCGCUUCCUACAAGCGCUGUGGCGGCUCAGGCCGGCUCCCAGUCCCCGGCGGGCGGCGGCGCUUCCCAGCGGGGCUGCCCAGUAAGGAGCUGCAAGCCGGGCCAGGCCGCCAAGGUGCGGGUACUACCGAGCUGUGCCAGCGCUGAUGGGCCGCGGGGCCCCGCUGCCCUCCUAGCUCCGCGCAGGGACCGGGGUCCUGCGCGCUAACGCCCUGCAAACAAGCUCCGCGGCCUCUCCCGCGGCUGCCUCCCGGAGGGCUUGGCCUGGCGAGCCCGGACCCCGCACCUCCCGGCAAGCCCCCUGCGGCCGGGGAGGGGGGCCGCCGUCCGGACCGGUGCGGCAGGGCUUCUGGCGUAGCCCCAGCCCCGGCCGGGGCGCCCCGUCCCCGCUCGGCGGGGCCAAGCCCAGCGCGGCGGCGGCGGCAGCCCUGCGGCAACCAGCGCUCGGCUCUGCCAGGGAGAAGCGGCGGAAUGAGCGUUGGAAUGUUUACUCUCCGAUAGUUCUCAGUUUCCAUUCCAUCCUGCCCUGAAAGAUUUCUGAUUACUAUACACUUCAAAAUAGUAUUUAUUACAGAUUUACAUAAUCUGUAUGUUUUAUGUUAAGGGAAUAACACAUUGAUGCUGUACUACUGAAAGGAGUUAAUCUAAACUAUGUAGUGUCUGCUUUCCAACUAAAACACUUCCCUGUCUCCUGGCACUGGCAAGGCACACGCGCCCAGAAGGCCACUGCCCGGCACGUUAGGUAAGCUGCCAGGUGAAGCCACUGCUCGCCUCUUGGACCUUCCCCGGGUUGCGGAACAGCACUCGGCAAAAUUAAAUCACGGCUGUCUCUGUAUAACCUCCCGUUUAAUUUCACGAGUGUUAUUUCAAAUAGCAUGUGCCUGGUUUAUGACAGGAUUCCUGCGGGUAAGCAAACACUGAAAGGGAUGAAACUGUUUUGGGCCUGAGGUAAGCAGCACGAUAACUCAGGUUAAAUACUAUUUAAAUUAGAUUCGAGUGUGUAUGUGGUUAGGCUGUAGUAAUAACGUUUAAAUUUUGUUAUUCUGAGGCUGUCGUUCAGUGUUCUUGAUGAACUGUCCAUGAGCAUACAGAUGGUGAGAUUUUCAUGCUUCUGUGGCAUACUGACAUCUCAGGCUGUAAAAAUAAAUUCCCAGAUCGCUGCAAUACCUACGAAGUAGAAAAAUCCCGUCCACCUUAAUACUCAACACCAGGGUGCUUCACGUUUAAGAGACUCCGUAACAUCUGACACACAAGUUGGUGCAAAUACGGAAUAAUGAUUUAAGGGAUUUACACUAUAAAGCAAAAUUUAAGUUUAGCUCUGUGCCCUUUUUUAUGCAGAUGAUUUUUUCCCCUGUGCUUCUGAAUUUAGCGUUAUGAGGGAUAGAGAUAUAAACUUGAAUUUAUUUGCUAUUAUCUGUAAAGACUUUUUUUUUUUUUUUUUAACUUUGUACUUAAGGAUGGAAGCGGGCUUUUCAUUACGUCAGGUUUACUUUUCCUGGCAAGAUAGUUGCAUUGUUUCUUGAUUUCAGGUGAUUUUACAUCGUGGUAACACGUAGUUAUUUCUAUUGUGAUGAUCUGUAUUGCACAGAAAAGGUAUUUGCGUCAAAUACGAAGGCUGAGAUAUUUUCUCGAAUAUAAAGAUGACUUUUUUUUUUCUUGCCUAAGAAGCCUUAGUGUGACUGAGCCGUGCGUCAGCCUGGGGGCCAGCACUGAUACUGCUCAGGAGUAGCUGGGGCAGAGCACCCCUGUUGGUUAACGUCUGGCCGUGGACAAGGUGUUGCGCUUAUUAGGGUUUCUGCGCUGACCGAAUUAAAAAAUUUAAAUAGAUAAAUAUAGCAGGGUGAUAUGGUGAAAAUGAGCUAAAAGAAAAACAUUUUGCAGAGAGAAGUAUAUACUUUCAAAAGGUUUAAAAUAUUCAAUUGGUGAAAAAAAUAACUACUUGUAAAAACGUGUGUAUUUUCAUUAUGCUUAAUUUGCCAUUCAAAACAAGUUUUUCUUAAUAAGCUCUAUUGUUUCUAUCUGUUUUGUGAAAUGUAAUACGUGUGAGACAGAAAGCAGACCCGGAAUGUGAAUGAGCCUUGUUUUCUCUUUCUCUCUUUCUUUCUAUCGCUUUUAAAAUACAACUUUACUCGUAUUCAGAGAGCCUUAAGUCAAGAAAAGGAUUAAUAGAAGUGGAGUGGCAUGGCAUUCCUGAGGUCAUGAUCUGAAGAGAUGAAACGUGAAAUCCUGUGUGCUAGUUUUUUCUAUGUCUUAUUUCUGUGCAGUAUAAAAGUCUCCACAGGCAAAACACUCUCUGGUUAAUAGUUAUGUUUUCGCUCUCAGCAGUGACACAAGCUUUGUCAGGUUUUCGCCGUUUGCACAGUUCAUUAAAAUACUUUAUUAAAUGACUCAUUGUUUUAAAAAAUCACCACACUAUCACCCGAGUAAAAACAUCUAUAUCCCCUCAAUCCGGCAGUGUCAAAAAGUAUAGUCUCUUAGGGCAAAAGGUUAUGGAGCCUUCAUAAAGGUUUCCCAUCUGUCAUCAAGUGCGACAUCAAGCCCUCUAGGUGCCGUGAAAAUGAUUUUCUCCGGAAUUCUCCAGCCCAAAGAUGCCAUCCUCUUAAUUACAAGCAUUGGAGAUCAGGAACGCCGCUGAAUUCCCAGGAGAUUCACAGAAGAUAUGCAAAAAUAAUCUCUUCUCCUGCUUGCCUGCCAGGGCUUCUGUACCUGCCCACCAGCUAGCCGGCUCAUUUGCUAGUGAUUAACUGCCCUUCUCGCCGUCCCAAGGCUCCUGCGCACGGGUUCCUCCCGGACGCGGGGUACCGGAGCCGCUGAGAUGGCGAGCUGUGUGAGGUACCACAUCUGCUUGCUACAGGUGCCCCGAGAAACCUCACAAAGUACUGCUAGGGUCAGCGUGCAUGAGAAAGGGGGUGCGUGCAGGCGGUGUGCGGAGCCGAGCCUUUGUGCGACAAGACCGUGCCUGCACAGCACAAAGUGAGUCUGCGGUCGGGCGAGAAUCCUAUCUCCAAAUGUCCAUUAGCACUUUUUCCAGAGGUGACAACCAGGUGAAAGGGCACCCGACCCACCAAUUCAUCAACAGCCGAGCGUUGGAGGGGUUUGCUGGGUUAAAGGGAUUGCAGCAGUUGGAGGAGGAGGUCCACAAGGUGAAGUGAGCAGGAGAAAAAUAUCCUUGCAGCCGGACGCGAGUGACCUCCCAGCACGGCACCAGCUCGGAGGAGCUGGCUGCGGCCAGACGGUGCGGCGCACACAGACCUGGGGACGGCAACGUCUGCAGAGGCUCCACUAGUGUUGUCAAUCUGAGCGGUGGAGACUGCAUUUUUAAUAUGUGGAAGCAUGUACAUAACUCUGGACAUAAGGGUGGGGGCGUAAAAAAGCCACGUCCAAGCUCAAUAGGAGCACUGGAGAGAAACCUCGGGCUCCAUGCCAUCCGAGAUGUGAAAGCCCACGGAGGCUCAGCAGCCAAAAUCGCAUACACUGAUUUUUUAAUAGAGUUCUCAUCCAUGUGUCCAUUUAACUGCAGUUGAUACAGAUCAAAUAAGCUUGUUACUUUUAGAUUCCCAGUUGCCUCAAGUGAUACAAGACAGUAGCAACAGGAAGAUCCCUAAUUAAAACGGAUUCAUCUGAUUUUCUUAUUCAGGGACUUUAGUGCCCCUAAGUAUUCCAGGAAUGAUAAAACUUCCAGCGUCAGCCUGCCAGGUCUAGCCCUUCUUCUGCCCGCGGAAUGGGAAUAGCAGAUUAUCUUCUACCACUCAAACUUCCUUUCAUUCUUUCGUAUCAUUUCUCAAAUCUCCUUCAGAGCACUGCUCCCUGCAUUUCUCCGAACUUUUAAAUAUAUAUAUAUUUACAUACAUACAAUUUCAUGUCUAUAUGCAAGAACACGCAUAUUCCAGGCAACAUAAAUCUGAGCGGAAUAUGUAGCUGGAAAGCAGUACAAGAUAAUAUACCAGUUAGUCAUGAAAUAGCUUCAAGCUUCAUACGCUUUAACAAAGUUUUAAGAGUCGUCAUUUUAAAAUUUACUUCGUGUAAUGAUAGCUCGGCAUUAUAGGUCAUGAUUGCAACUGCAACUAUUUGAAGAUACAUAUGUAGUGAUCUGUGAAUGCCUCUUCUAAGAAGAGAACAGCGUUGAAUGCUUUGCAAAUUAUUCUAAAGUUUACAUGCUUGUUGUGUUGUUUGACCGAGUGCGUGCUGCUGCUCCUCGGUGAAACUUACUGACCUACACGGGAAAGAGGGAAUGAUGACCCCGCUGCUGGAUGCCUUGUGCACCCCACGUUCUGGGCAAUGCUCUGGCGUGGUGAGCGUGUACCCCUAUAGACGGCCAAGUGUGAAAGAAGACCAACAUGAAUGUUAUUAGCAGAGAGAAUGUGGUCAUGCAUUCAAGUUCACAAGACCAUGGUAACGUCAACGGGCGGAACUGCGGUAAGCAUUUAUAAGUUUGCCUGGCUUUUUAUUCCAUAUAGAAUACCAGGAAUGCCAAGCAGUGCCCAGCCGGCCCAAACACGCCGCAGACACAAAAAUAAAAGGCCGUCCCUUCCGCUUUUCUCGACCCCACCAUACGGUAGAAAAUGGAUGCAAGACCUGGAACGUGAUGAGAAUCUCAGAAGUGCCAGACCUCUUAUGGGUUUCAAGGGAAUUGUGUGGCCAACAAAUCCAGCUUCACUCUCGUUUUUAGCCAGUUUAUCAAAGAGAUGACUAGAAUGGCGGAACAGCAAUUACCCGGCUCUUUGCGUGAGGGUAACAUGACUAGGAGAAUGAUAAGACUCCCACAGCAUUUCUAAAGGUCUGUAUUUCCCACUGGGCCUAAGUGACUUUUCCAUUAUAGGGUGAAGAAAAUGGCUAUUAUAAGAAAAUGCCGGUGAAGAAAAUGUUACUAUAUAACAGACCGUUCGUGUCUUUUGAUAAAGAGUUUGUAGGAAAUAACACCGUCUUGACUUACUGUCCUCAAAAAUGGUUCCUUUCCCUUUUCCUUCUAAGCAAAUAGCAAGUAAGAUUUUUUUUUCGAGAUGAAGCUAAGAGGGCUUUAGCUUUCUUUUAAAGAGAAGGUUCGUGGCACGUAUAGGUGGGGGCAUCUUUAUGUUCGGAAGGGAAGUUUGUUUAUUUUAAAAUAAAACCUGUUACUUGGACUCUUUUAGUAAGGCUAAAGGAGUAUGUCCCUUUCUUUGUCUUCAGAAUAAAUGGCAGAAAGUUCGAAUCAUCUCGCUUUCUCUUCUCGCUUUCUCUUCCCAAAAUAAAUGCCGUGUUAUGAUUAGUUCUGUGGUGCCCUUAAAAAAAAAAAAAAAAAAAAAAAAAAAAAAAAAAAUAACACCUUCCAGGUCCAAGCCUCCACAAAUUGCAAUUCAAAACGUUUUUGAAGAAACAGACUAAUCGCAUCCUCCUUGUUUAGAGUCGCAAAUCUGCAGUGAAAUACCGCUAAACUGGGUUCUUAAAGUUUAUUCGGUGGCAUUUUCUUCGGUUGCCUGUGUUCACUCCGCUGAGAUGCUGUGAGCAAUAACGCAACUCCCAUAGGGACUCGUGCCUGAGAGCGCUGGUGAUUAGCUGAUCUGCCAUGUCUGGUAUAUCAGAGGAUGGGAUGUACACUGGACUGACUUUACCGUCUUAUUUAAAUGUGAUGAUUUUUCUCAUUUGUUGCAUUGUUUGUAUUAAUACGAAUAUCUUGUUAUGUUUGUUUUGUCUCCUGGGAGCCAAUAAAGCUGUGAAGUUUUUCUUUACACCAAAUGCAGCUCUACGGGCGAUCAAUCAAUGGGUAGUUUUUGGAUAAUCUGCGAGAGUGAGAAAUCUAAUAAAGCAAGCAACUAAAAAAGGAAAACAAA